GACGAACGCUGGCGGCGUGCUUAACACAUGCAAGUCGAACGGAAAGGCCCUGCUUUUGUGGGGUGCUCGAGUGGCGAACGGGUGAGUAACACGUGAGUAACCUGCCCUUGACUUUGGGAUAACUUCAGGAAACUGGGGCUAAUACCGGAUAGGAGCUCCUGCUGCAUGGUGGGGGUUGGAAAGUUUCGGCGGUUGGGGAUGGACUCGCGGCUUAUCAGCUUGUUGGUGGGGUAGUGGCUUACCAAGGCUUUGACGGGUAGCCGGCCUGAGAGGGUGACCGGCCACAUUGGGACUGAGAUACGGCCCAGCCUCCUACGGGAGGCAGCAGUGGGGAAUAUUGCACAAUGGGCGGAAGCCUGAUGCAGCAACGCCGCGUGCGGGAUGACGGCCUUCGGGUUGUAAACCGCUUUCGCCUGUGACGAAGCGUGAGUGACGGUAAUGGGUAAAGAAGCACCGACUAACUACGUG
rnacentral:rRNA from 1 species